GAAAAUCUGGCCAAGAUUCCAGAUGCCAACUCAAAUGCUUUCUCCACUAAAGAACAAAAGAGUGACAGAACUGUGCAGUAUCCACUCAAAGGCAAAGCUCAUGGAAGUUUUUUCCAAAUCAAACUUCAUCUGUCUUACAUUUGGUGGGAUUCCUCCAAGAUUCUGGCACGUGUUUGUCUUUCUUUCUUUCGUAGUAAGGGAAUGUAGAUUUGAGAGAAAGAAGAAAGGAGAAAGAUUGAAGAGCGAGAUUAUACCACCAGAGCGAAGAGAUGGUACCACCAUUAGUGAAAAAGAAAUCAGAGAACACAAAAGACAAAGGAUGAAGACUAAAAGCAAGCUUUGCCCGCAUUAGUUUUGCUUAGAGUUAACCCUUGCCCAACUCCCUGUUAGUCUACAAAUGAUCUCUUAUCUACUCUAAGUCGUGACAUGAGUCCAUUGAUAAAGUCCUGUGGGGGGAUGCAGUGUCUGAUCAAACAAUGCUCAGGAGGCAGAGUUCAUUGACCAUGUCCAGUUGUUGAGUAUAUUUCGAGGUUUUGAGAUGUUCUAUUUGCCACAGCUUUCAACUGGACUUUGUUUCUCUGAACCUGGGUGUGCAAAUGAAAAAAAAAUCAUUAAAAACAAAGCUCUACAAAGACAGACAACUGGUAUUUUUUCCCUUCUGUAUUCCUGGCAUUUAGGAGAGUGUUUGGCAC
rnacentral:lncRNA from 1 species